UACGGAGGGGGCUAGCGUUGUUCGGAAUUACUGGGCGUAAAGCGCGCGUAGGCGGCUUUGUAAGUUAGAGGUGAAAGCCCGGAGCUCAACUCCGGAAUUGCCUUUAAGACUGCAUCGCUAGAAUCAUGGAGAGGUUAGUGGAAUUCCGAGCGUAGAGGUGAAAUUCGUAGAUAUUCGGAAGAACACCAGUGGCGAAGGCGACUAACUGGACAUGUAUUGACGCUGAGGUGCGAAAGCGUGGGGAGCAAACAGG
rnacentral:rRNA from 1 species